GUGUAGCCUGUGAGCUAUAUGGUCACCUUGGCAAGCCUUGAUGAAGCUGUAUGACCACUGACAUUUUGUCUGUGUGGUCUCUUGUAGGAGUCUGUAGUUUUCUGUGCCAUGCUGAUCCCGACACAUCAGAGAUGAUUUCAUGAAUAAAGGGGCAAGGGAGAUGUGAAAUGUGAAGUCUGAGUACCAGUGAAUGGAGAAAGGAUCAAGUUCUAGCAUGAACAAGACCUUUUUUCCAGCUGACCCCGUGCCUCAAAGAAAUUGGAGCAAGAAUAAAAGGUGUC
rnacentral:lncRNA from 1 species